AGGACGAACGCUGGCGGCGUGCUUAACACAUGCAAGUCGAGCGGAAAGGCCCUUCGGGGUACUCGAGCGGCGAACGGGUGAGUAACACGUGAGCAACCUGCCCUCAGCUCUGGGAUAGCUCCCGGAAAACGGGAAUUAAUACCGGAUACGACCCCAACUGACAUCGGUCAGGGUGGAAAGGAUUCCGGCUGAGGAUGGACUCGCGGCCUAUCAGCUAGUUGGUGGAGUAACGGCCCACCAAGGCGACGACGGGUAGCCGGCCUGAGAGGGCGACCGGCCACACUGGGACUGAGACACGGCCCAGACUCCUGCGGGAGGCAGCAGUGGGAAUAUUGCGCAAUGGGCGAAAGCCUGACGCAGCGACGCCGCGUGGGGGAUGAAGGCCUUCGGGUUGUAACCCUUUCAGCAGGGACGAAGCGAGAGUGACGGUACCUGCAGAAGAAGCGCCGGCUAACUACGUGCCAGCAGCCGC
rnacentral:rRNA from 1 species